CCAUGUGUUGCACACUUAUGGUUUUGUUGGGACAUACAUCAGACUCUUUCUCAACACUGCCAAACCGUUGUUUCCCAUGUGUUGCACACUUAUGGUUUUGUUGGGACAUACAUCAGACUCUUUCUCAACACUGCCAAACCGUUGUUUCCCAUGUGUUGCACACUUAUGGUUUUGUUGGGACAUACAUCAGACUCUUUCUCAACACUGCCAAACCGUUGUUUCGUGGACAGCUGCAGGUGCAGAAUCAUCAAAUAAGCCCUAAAGACAGCACAUUAUCAGAAGGGGAUAGAAGAUAAUGGGUGAGCUCAAAACCUUGGGAGAGAAAACAAGAGCUGUGAUUUGGUAAAUGUCUCCGGAAAUGGGAAAGCUGGAGUGUGAUUUGGUAAAUUGGUCGAUCAAGGCUGAACUCCUGUCCACAGCAAGUAUGGGAGGGGCCUUACUUGCAAAUGUUCGAACCAGUGUUUGAGCCUCUCCCCAUUGGCGCUGAUGCCCAGGGAUACGCCACCUGAGAGCGGGGACGGGAGAACAGCAGAAAAGGGUAAGAACACAACAGAAAAUGGAUACACCUGAGCUCAAUUUGGAGGGUCAUAGCAAAGGGGUGUGAAUACUUGUAUAAAUUAGAUAUUUCUGUAUUUAAUUUUCAAUAAAUACAUUUAAAAAAAAUCUAAAAA